GUGAACGUUACAAACUGUUGCCUCGGCGGGGUCACGCCCCGGGUGCGUAAAAGCCCCGGAACCAGGCGCCCGCCGGAGGAACCAACCAAACUCUUUCUGUAGUCCCCUCGCGGACGUAUUUCUUACAGCUCUGAGCAAAAAUUCAAAAUGAAUCAAAACUUUCAACAACGGAUCUCUUGGUUCUGGCAUCGAUGAAGAACGCAGCGAAAUGCGAUAAGUAAUGUGAAUUGCAGAAUUCAGUGAAUCAUCGAAUCUUUGAACGCACAUUGCGCCCGCCAGUAUUCUGGCGGGCAUGCCUGUCCGAGCGUCAUUUCAACCCUCGAACCCCUCCGGGGGAUCGGCGUUGGGGAUCGGGACCCCUCACCGGGUGCCGGCCCUGAAAUACAGUGGCGGUCUCGCCGCAGCCUCUCCUGCGCAGUAGUUUGCACAACUCGCACCGGGAGCGCGGCGCGUCCACGUCCGUAAAACACCCAACUUCUGAAAUGUUGACCUCGGAUCAGGUAGGAAUACCCGCUGAACUUAAGCAUAUCAAUAAGCGGAG
rnacentral:rRNA from 1 species